AGACGACUUUUCCUCUCCCAUUCAUCCGUCUGCCAUCUCCUAACUUCUCCUCUCAAAUCUCUAAUGUUGUCGAUGGAUUCAGCACCAUAUCCGCCGCUGCGCAUCCUCCAAACCCACCAAGGCCACCGCUGCGCAUCCUCCAAACCCACCAUGGCCGCCGCUGCACAUCCUCCAAACCCUAGAUCUGAUACUGGAGCACUCUAGAUAGUUGCUUUAGACCUGGGCUUAUGGUUCAAAGAAUGUUAUUUUUGUUUCAGUUGCUCCGGACCUGGGAUUUUGGUUCAAAGAAUAAUUGAGAUGACUUUUGUAGGUCACAUUGGUUAUAACAUAGGCAAGACCAAGAAACACGCUUGGAGUAAUAAACAAUAAAUAAUAGCCAAAUCAAAGAAACUCAAGUUUUGCUAUGCGAUUAAAGACAACAUGAUUUCAAACUCAAGUUUAGCAGUUUUUGGCAGUUUUUUCUGUGCGUUACGCAAUUUUUGUGUUGGGUUAAUGUUUCAGAUCUAGAAUGUCACCUGCCUAUGAUUUGUUAAUCUAGCCGAACAGGAGAGCCAGCGUUGACUCGAGGUAAAGUCAACAAGUUUCUUUUACACUUUUAUUUAGUAUUAGUUUGUUCAAUAGUCUAUAAAAUCUAUUAGGGGAAAAACAGGUUGGUUUCUUAGUAUGUUUUUCUUUUUGGCUUAUAUGG